rnacentral:rRNA from 1 species
UACGAGAGGCCCAAACAUUAUUCGGAAUUACUGGGCUUAAAGAGUUCGUAGGCGGCAUAGUAAGUAGGGUGUGAAAUCCCUCGGCUCAACCGAGGAAUUGCGCUCUAAACUACCGUGCUAGAGGAAGCUAGAGGUGAGCGGAACUGAUGGUGGAGCGGUGAAAUGCGUUGAUAUCAUCAGGAACACCGGAGGCGAAGGCGGCUCACUGGGGCUUUUCUGACGCUGAGGAACGAAAGCCAGGGUAGCGAACGGG